GAUGAACGCUGGCGGCGUGCUUAACACAUGCAAGUCGAACGGGAAAUAUUUCAUUGAGACUUCGGUGGAUUUGAUUUAUUUCUAGUGGCGGACGGGUGAGUAACGCGUGGGUAACCUGCCUUAUACAGGGGGAUAACAGUCAGAAAUGGCUGCUAAUACCGCAUAAGCGCACAGAGCUGCAUGGCUCAGUGUGAAAAACUCCGGUGGUAUAAGAUGGACCCGCGUUGGAUUAGCUAGUUGGUGGGGUAACGGCCCACCAAGGCGACGAUCCAUAGCCGGCCUGAGAGGGUGAACGGCCACAUUGGGACUGCGACACGGCCCAGACUCCUACGGGAGGCAGCAGUGGGGAAUAUUGCACAAUGGGGGAAACCCUGAUGCAGCGACGCCGCGUGAAGGAAGAAGUAUCUCGGUAUGUAAACUUCUAUCAGCAGGGAAGAUAGUGACGGUACCUGACUAAGAAGCCCCGGCUAACUACGU
rnacentral:rRNA from 1 species